rnacentral:rRNA from 1 species
AGAGUUUGAUCCUGGCUCAGGAUGAACGCUAGCGACAGGCUUAACACAUGCAAGUCGAGGGGCAGCACAGGUAGCAAUACCGGGUGGCGACCGGCGCACGGGUGAGUAACGCGUAUGCAACUUGCCUAUCAGAGGGGGAUAACCCGGCGAAAGUCGGACUAAUACCGCAUGAAGCAGGGAUCCCGCAUGGGAAUAUUUGCUAAAGAUUCAUCGCUGAUAGAUAGGCAUGCGUUCCAUUAGGCAGUUGGCGGGGUAACGGCCCACCAAACCGACGAUGGAUAGGGGUUCUGAGAGGAAGGUCCCCCACAUUGGUACUGAGACACGGACCAAACUCCUACGGGAGGCAGCAGUGAGGAAUAUUGGUCAAUGGCCGAGAGGCUGAACCAGCCAAGUCGCGUGAGGGAUGAAGGUUCUAUGGAUCGUAAACCUCUUUUAUAAGGGAAUAAAGUGCGGGACGUGUCCCGUUUUGUAUGUACCUUAUGAAUAAGGAUCGGCUAACUCCGUGCCAGCAGCCGCGGUAAUACGGAGGAUCCGAGCGUUAUCCGGAUUUAUUGGGUUUAAAGGGUGCGUAGGCGGCCUUUUAAGUCAGCGGUGAAAGUCUGUGGCUCAACCAUAGAAUUGCCGUUGAAACUGGGGGGCUUGAGUAUGUUUGAGGCAGGCGGAAUGCGUGGUGUAGCGGUGAAAUGCAUAGAUAUCACGCAGAACCCCGAUUGCGAAGGCAGCCUGCCAAGCCAUGACUGACGCUGAUGCACGAAAGCGUGGGGAUCAAACAGGAUUAGAUACCCUGGUAGUCCACGCAGUAAACGAUGAUCACUAGCUGUUUGCGAUACACUGUAAGCGGCACAGCGAAAGCGUUAAGUGAUCCACCUGGGGAGUACGCCGGCAACGGUGAAACUCAAAGGAAUUGACGGGGGCCC